CGACAACGAACGAGACCUUAACCUGCUAAAUAGUUAGGCCAACGUUUGUUGGUCGUCAACUUCUUAGAGGGACUAUUGACUAUUAGUCAAUGGAAGUUUGAGGCAAUAACAGGUCUGUGAUGCCCUUAGAUGUUCUGGGCCGCACGCGCGCUACACUGAUCAAGUCAACGAGUUUACAACCUUGGCCGGAAGGUCUGGGCAAUCUUUUGAAACUUGAUCGUGCUGGGGAUAGUCCAUUGCAAUUAUUGGACUUCAACGAGGAAUUCCUAGUAAGCGUGAGUCAUCAGCUCGCGUUGAUUACGUCCCUGCCCUUUGUACACACCGCCCGUCGCUACUACCGAUUGAAUGGCU
rnacentral:rRNA from 1 species